GAUGAAGAACGGAGCGAAAUGCGAUAAGUAAUGUGAAUUGCAGAAUUCAGUGAAUCAUCGAAUCUUUGAACGCACAUUGCGCCCGCCAGUAUUCUGGCGGGCAUGCCUGUUCGAGCGUCAUUUCAACCCUCAAGCCCUGCUUGGUGUUGGGGAUCGGCGUUGCCUCCUCCGUCGUUCGCGGCGGGGUGAGGUCGCCGCCCCCGAAAUGAAUUGGCGGUCUCGUCGCAGCUUUCCUUUGCGUAGUAACAUACCACCUCGCAACCAGGAGCGCGGCGCGGCCACUGCCGUAAAACGCCCAACUUUUUCAAGAGUUGACCUCGAAUCAGGUAGGAAUACCCGCUGAACUUAAGCAUAUCAAUAAGCGGAGGA
rnacentral:misc_RNA from 1 species